GACGAACGCUGGCGGCGUGCUUAACACAUGCAAGUCGAACGGAAAGGCCCUGCUUUUGUGGGGUGCUCGAGUGGCGAACGGGUGAGUAACACGUGAGUAACCUGCCCUUGACUUUGGGAUAACUUCAGGAAACUGGGGCUAAUACCGGCUAGGAGCUCCUGCUGCAUGGUGGGGGUUGGAAAGUUUCGGCGGUUGGGGAUGGACUCGCGGCUUAUCAGCUUGUUGGUGGGGUAGUGGCUUACCAAGGCUUUGACGGGUAGCCGGCCUGAGAGGGUGACCGGCCACAUCGGGCCUGAGAUACGGCCCAGCCUCCUACGGGAGGCAGCAGUGGGGAAUAUUGCGCAAUGGGCGGAAGCCUGAUGCAGCAACGCCGCGUGCGGGAUGACGGCCUUCGGGUUGUAAACCGCUUUCGCCUGUGACGAAGCGUGAGUGACGGUAAUGGGUAAAGAAGCACCGGCUAACUACGUG
rnacentral:rRNA from 1 species